UACGUAGGGUGCAAGCGUUAAUCGGAAUUACUGGGCGUAAAGCGUGCGCAGGCGGUUUUGUAAGGCUGACGUGAAAGCCCCGGGCUUAACCUGGGAAUUGCGUUGGAGACUGCAAGGCUUGAAUCUGGCAGAGGGGGGUAGAAUUCCACGUGUAGCAGUGAAAUGCGUAGAGAUGUGGAGGAACACCGAUGGCGAAGGCAGCCCCCUGGGUCAAGAUUGACGCUCAUGCACGAAAGCGUGGGGAGCAAACAGG
rnacentral:rRNA from 1 species